UUUUUAUUACAUAUCUCUCUAGGCCCAUGUCAGAGAAGACAGCAUGCCAGGUGAGGAGCAAACAGUGCCAUGCAGCACAACAAGGAAAGGGAACAGCUGUGGGGUAAAACACCAACACGGAUUCUGUAUGGAGAGGAGAACUGCUGUUGAAAAGCAAUGCUGUUACAAGGGGGUUUCACAAAAACUUCCCUGUUCUGUGAAAACCUGAUCUGAGAUGGAGGGAAUUCCAGAGUCAGCCUAAAGUGAGGCAGUAAAAAGGUGAAGCAAAUGAGGGAGCUGGAGGGAAUCCCAGACAGUCAGAUGCCUGUGCAGAGACCCCACUCUCCUGCACACACCGUGUAGGGCCAUGCAGCUCUACAAAAGCCGCAAACUCUUGGAGUCAGAGCUCAAACUCUCCUGACAUCACGCUUCCUGUGCAGCGUGACUGCACGCUUUGUACACAAAACAAGGAAAACAUCACAGUAACCAUCACUGACUUCAUGAUUCGAGAGGCAGCUGCCCAGAAGACUUCUUCAGCUGCCAGAUGUAUCCACUGCCCUGUGAGCACAUCCAAGUAUGUUUCUCCUUAAGUGAUCGAUCACGGUAGGGCUGAAGAUUAUUUUUUUUCUUUCUCACAGCAAAUCACUUUUCUCAUUUUUUUGUGUAUCCAGUGGCUGAGACGAAACAUGUUUUCCUGCAGAUAUGAGCUCAGCUUGUGAGUGCUAUGGACAUUGUUUUAUUGACAAAAGACUUGCUGCUCGCUAAAAAUACCCAGCUUUUGAAGUAGAAUGAUCCUUCUUCAGCAUCUCUAGACUUCAGAGAAACUCAGAAGCCAGUAUGAUUUGCUACAACCCACCCCCUCAGCCUGCCCCAGUAUGAAAUUAUCUUAAAGGAGAAAAAGUAAAAUGAAAGUAUUGAAAAUGUUUCUCCAACAUUUCCACUUCCCUGAGGAAGAUUCUAGGGCAAAACCAGGUAGCAUUGGCAGGACCACUGCAGACUUUCAAAGAGGUACUCAUCUGUAUUUACAAUUACAAUGCGGAUUUACUAAUAACUCUCAAGAAAACAAGAUUGUUGGUGAAGCGUCAUC
rnacentral:lncRNA from 1 species